rnacentral:lncRNA from 1 species
UUGGGGGCGUUUGGAUUGACGAAUUUGUAGAUUCAACGUAAGUCAAGUGUAGUGGUGUUUGAGUUUCCCUGAAGUGUGAUUAUUUUUCUGUUGUUUGUUUUGACGUAACUCGUACCACUGAAAGUUAAAUUCAAUCACUUCUGCUGUUUGUUUUGAUGUAACUUGGUGCUGGUAAAAUUAGUUUUUUGAGUUCCGUUGUUUGUUUUGAUGUAAGUAAGUGGAUCCCAUUAUCUCCUAAAUAUAGUAAUAAAUUUAUCACUAUAAAAUUUAACCUAUUAUAUAAUUAAAUUUUUUAUUAUUAUUUAAAGAUAAUCUUAAUUUAUUAUAAAUAAGGUAAUUCUAACCCAUUAUAAAGAAAGUAGAGUUUAGGUUUUACUAUUUAAUAAAUUGUUUAGAGAAGGUUGAGUGUGGUGGAAGUCGAGUUCGGCACUUUAGAGCCGGAAGUCGAGAGUAGGUGAAGUGGAGCUCUAAAGUAACUUGAGUUACAUUAUAUUUUUCACUUACACCAAAACAAAUAACGAAAGUGAUGGAACUUGAGUUCCAUCACUCCACUUACACCAAAACAAACGGGCCCUAAUAGGUGAAGUCU